GACGAACGCUGGCGGCGUGCUUAACACAUGCAAGUCGAACGGAAAGGCCCUGCGUUUGUGGGGUGCUCGAGUGGCGAACGGGUGAGUAACACGUGAGUAACCUGCCCUUGACUUUGGGAUAACUUCAGGAAACUGGGGCGAUUACCGGAUAGGAGCUCCUGCUGCAUGGUGGGGGUUGGAAAGUUUCGGCGGUUGGGGAUGGACUCGCGGCUUAUCAGCUUGUUGGUGGGGUAGUGGCUUACCAAGGCUUUGACGGGUAGCCGGCCUGAGAGGGUGACCGGCCACAUUGGGACUGAGAUACGGCCCAGACUCCUACGGGAGGCAGCAGUGGGGAAUAUUGCACAAUGGGCGGAAGCCUGAUGCAGCAACGCCGCGUGCGGGAUGACGGCCUUCGGGUUGUAAACCGCUUUCGCCUGUGACGAAGCGUGAGUGACGGUAAUGGGUAAAGAAGCACCGGCUAACUACGUG
rnacentral:rRNA from 1 species